rnacentral:rRNA from 1 species
CACGUAGUUAGCCGGCGCUUCUUCUGCAGGUACCGUCACUUUCGCUUCUUCCCUACUGAAAAGAGGUUUACAACCCGAAGGCCUUCAUCCCUCACGCGGCGUCGCUGCAUCAGGCUUUCGCCCAUUGUGCAAUAUUCCCCACUGCUGCCUCCCGUAGGACGUCUGGGCCGUGUCUCAGUCCCAGUGUGGCCGGUCGCCCUCUCAGGCCGGACUACCCGUCGACGCCUUGGUGAGCCAUUACCCUCACCAACAAGCUGAUAGGCCGCGAGUCCAUCCUUGACCGAAAAAACUUUCCAGACGCCGACCAUGCGGUCGCGUCUCGCAUCCGGUAUUACGCCCCGGUUCCCGGAGUUACUCCCAGAGUCAAGGGCAGGUUACUCACGUGUUACUCACCCGUUCGCCACUGAUCAACCAGAGCAAGCUCUGAUGUCACCGUUUCGACUUUGCAUGUGUUAAGCACGCCGCCAGCGUUCUCCUGACGCCAGGACUACGAAACUACUCUA